rnacentral:rRNA from 1 species
GACGAACGUUGGCGGCGUGCUUAACACAUGCAAGUCGAACGGAAAGGCCCUGCUUUUGUGGGGUGCUCGAGUGGCGAACGGGUGAGUAACACGUGAGUAACCUGCCCUUGACUUUGGGAUAACUUCAGGAAACUGGGGCUAAUACCGGAUAGGAGCUCCUGCUGCAUGGUGGGGGUUGGAAAGUUUCGGCGGUUGGGGAUGGACUCGCGGCUUAUCAGCUUGUUGGUGGGGUAGUGGCUUACCAAGGCUUUGACGGGUAGCCGGCCUGAGAGGGUAACCGGCCACAUUGGGACUGAGAUACGGCCCAGACUCCUACGGGAGGCAGCAGUGGGGAAUAUUGCACAAUGGGCGGAAGCCUGAUGCAGCAACGCCGCGUGCGGGAUGACGGCCUUCGGGUUGUAAACCGCUUUCGCCUGUGACGAAGCGUGAGUGACGGUAAUGGGUAAAGAAGCACCGGCUAACUACGUGCCAGCAGCCGCGGUGAUACGUAGGGUGCGAGCGUUGUCCGGAUUUAUUGGGCGUAAAGGGCUCGUAGGUGGUUGAUCGCGUCGGAAGUGUAAUCUUGGGGCUUAACCCUGAGCGUGCUUUCGAUACGGGUUGACUUGAGGAAGGUAGGGGAGAAUGGAAUUCCUGGUGGAGCGGUGGAAUGCGCAGAUAUCAGGAGGAACACCAGUGGCGAAGGCGGUUCUCUGGGCCUUUCCUGACGCUGAGGAGCGAAAGCGUGGGGAGCGAACAGGCUUAGAUACCCUGGUAGUCCACGCUGUAAACGGUGGGUACUAGGUGUGGGGUCCAUUCCACGGGUUCCGUGCCGUAGCUAACGCUUUAAGUACCCCGCCUGGGGAGUACGGCUGCAAGGCUAAAACUCAAAGGAAUUGACGGGGCCCCGCACAAGCGGCGGAGCAUGCGGAUUAAUUCGAUGCAACGCGUAGAACCUUACCUGGGUUUGACAUGGAUCGGGAGUGCUCAGAGAUGGGUGUGCCUCUUUUGGGGUCGGUUCACAGGUGGUGCAUGGCUGUCGUCAGCUCGUGUCGUGAGAUGUUGGGUUAAGUCCCGCAACGAGCGCAACCCUUGUUCACUGUUGCCAGCACGUUAUGGUGGGGACUCAGUGGAGACCGCCGGGGUCAACUCGGAGGAAGGUGGGGAUGACGUCAAGUCAUCAUGCCCCUUAUGUCCAGGGCUUCACGCAUGCUACAAUGGCUGGUACAGAGAGUGGCGAGCCUGUGAGGGUGAGCGAAUCUCGGAAAGCCGGUCUCAGUUCGGAUUGGGGUCUGCAACUCGACCUCAUGAAGUCGGAGUCGCUAGUAAUCGCAGAUCAGCAACGCUGCGGUGAAUACGUUCCCGGG